GGGGUUGCCCCGGUUGGCCUAGGACAAGAUGAUACAGUCGCUUCGGCGAUUCAACUUUCAAUUCCUGUUGCUAAGAGGGAGGUUAGUUCCUCGGCAACUAUUUUGGUGGAGAGGACGGGCGCCGAUACUUCAGCGAAUGCAGAUGCUUCGACGUCUCAGGCGACGGAGGCCUCAACUUCCCGGGAGGCGUAAAAAAGGGGCGCCUCAGGAGAGGGAGACGAUUCUGAAUCCGAUAUGGAUCCUGAGGAUAUCCACACGUUUCAGGAGGGCUUUAGUCGCCCAGCGGCGCAGGCCGAAG
rnacentral:lncRNA from 1 species